AUUGAACGCUGGCGGCAGGCCUAACACAUGCAAGUCGAGCGGCAGAAGGGAACUUGCUCCUGGAUUCAGCGGCGGACGGGUGAGUAAUUCCUAGGAAUCUGCCUGUCAAUGGGGGAUAACGUCCGGAAACGGGCGCUCAUACGCCAUACGUCCUGAGGACGUACGUGGGGAAUCUUCGGAUCUCACGCUAUCAGAUGAGCCUAGGUCGGAUUAGCUAGUUGGCGGGGUAAAGGCCUACCAAGGCGACGAUCCGUAGCUGGUCUGAGAGGAUGAUCAGCCACACUGGAACUGAGACACGGUCCAGACUCCUACGGGAGGCAGCAGUGGGGAAUAUUGGACAAUGGGCGCAAGCCUGAUCCAGCCAUGCCGCGUGGGUGAAGAAGGCCUUCGGGUUGUAAAGCCCUUUUGUUGGGGAAGAAGAGCAGCAGGUUAAUACCCCGCUGUUUUGACGGUACCCAAAGAAUAAGCACCGGCUAACUUCGUG
rnacentral:rRNA from 1 species